CUGUCUCUGUACCAGUACCAGACAGGACUGUUUUGUUCGUUCCUGUUUGUUCUAGUGUAUUUAAAAGAUCAUGAACACGUACCACGCUGCACCCUGGUCCUCUCCUUCUUCCACCAACGACAACCGUUACAUCAGCCCUCCAUGUCUCAUGUGCCCACUCAUCCACUGGCACAUUGAAUGUUUCCUCUCCAAGCACUGAGUAGCCCUGUCAAUUUUCUCUCAUUACUUCAAAUCCUGUCCUGCCCUCAGUGGAAGAGUUGAACUCUUCUCCAACACCAUCCAUGAUGAGCCUGUCCUGCACUGAAGGCUAUGAACACCUCAGAGCCUGUCCUGCACUGAAGGCUAUGAACACCUCAACCCCUGUCCUGCACUGAAGGCUAUGAACACCUCAA